GAAAUCCUUCAGUGGACAAAUGGGGAGAAGACACAGGUUAUUUCCAAAAGCAUCUUUAGUUCAGGUCCCUCCAAAAGACCUCUGUCACCACAGCAAGUCAGUGCUAUUGCCAUGCCCACCUCAUCGAAUAGCACCAUUGUGGGAAAGAGAGUUCCUUCCCAGAAAUGAAAGCAGAACCAGUCUUAAAGAGCAGCCCAGCUCCACCCAAUUGCCACUUUAUCCUUAUGCCAGGGCUGUUCCUACUUUGCCUUGUCUUAAUCAUCUGACCAAAAAUUCUAAGUCAUUGCCAUAUUUGAAAUACCAGGGGAUAACUAAUGCAUCUUCAUCCCAACACCAUAUUAACUCCUCUGUCUUCUCUUUGACUAACCCUGAAUUCAGAGGAAGGGCAAAUGCAUCUCUGAGAACAACUUCUAAACUUGUUAAGCCUCCAUUUAGCUCAAAACACAAAGUAGAGACUCCUCUAGUUUUUGAGCGCUUUCCCAAGAUCUCAACAAGCUGGAACAGUCAAAAGAAGGAGCCAACACACCCCAAACAACAGCCAUCACCUCUCCCACUCUGCGAGAACAGGUCUGAAGAACUCCCACAACUCAAACAGAAGCCAUCCUAUCUCCAGCUCCCUGACCACAAGGAUGAGGAACUCCCACAACACAGACAGAAGCCCCCAACGCCGCCAAUAUCCAACCACCAGGAUGAGGCAAUACCAUUGAUUACCUGUAAGAGCAAGACUAUGGGUGACCCUUCCACAUGCCCUGACUCUCAGGUCAAUGACAGACCUGUCCCAGCAAGUUUGAGUCACUCAGCUGAAACACCUCAGAACCUUAAGAACAAUAUCAGAGUUUUAACUGUUAUGGUGAGCAGAGAAGGAACCAACCUCUGGCCCAAAUGUCUAAUUCUACAAUCACCCCAUUCUGACCACCACCAUUCUUUAGAAGAAGCACCAGACAUUGAUUAUAUGAACCAAGUUACAAAGCAUGCCCUCGAGGAAACAGCUCUGCCUUUUCUAAAAGGCAACCAGCAAUCUGGACCCUGCACUUUACCUUCAUCCUUGCCCAAAUAUGUCAACAGGGGCACAAGCACAGAUUUCCCCUGGCCUCCGUUCAAUGUGAUGGUUGCAAAUAUUACAUCAUCAGAUCCCAACCACCAGGCCAGGGUAAUUAUGAGACAAUUAAGAGGUUUCACACCAAGUACCAAAUCAGUCUCUGAUUCUUACCUAUCUCUGGGUGCAUGGAGAACCUCUGGGUCCUUCCCAUUUGCUGAACAUAUAGCUGAGGCUUCACCAGGCUCUGAUUACAAGGCCGAAGACACUACUGGGCUACCAUUACAUUCUAAGCACAAAGUUACGAUUCCUCCUCUAGGAGUUGAUCAUUUUAGCAAGGUUGCACCAGAUCUAAGUCCUCAGACUGCAAUUCCCAUGGGCUCUGAACAUAGAACUUCCACCUCAGUGGUCUUGAGUGAUGGGCCUGAAGCAGCACCUGGUUCCAAGACACAGGACGUAAAAACGCUGUCUCCUCCCAUCAGCCAGACUGAAUACCUACUUUAUCCUGGACUUUUGGAUAAGGAUUCACUGGCACUAGAGUCUAAGUUCAGAGGCCCCAUUGACCUUGGCCAGAAAGUUGAGACUUCGAUAUGCUCCGAUAACCAGGUCUCCUCUUCACUCUACCCUAACCAACAGGCACAGGUUAUACAGAGCCCAGACUGCCAAAAUGUAGUAACUCUAAGCCCUGAUGACUAUGUACAAUAUCUAAAUAUUUUUGAUCUUCAAAAGAAAGAAACACUUGUCCCAAUACUCCAGAAUGAUCUUGAAUUGGGUGGUCCUAGUCACUACCAAACUCAAAUUGUACCAGACUCUUAUGAGAUGAUACUUCUACUGAGUGAUAAAACCAAGGCCAUACCUCCACUCAGUCAUGACCACACAACUGAGCCUGAAUCACAGUCUAAGAAGGCCACUCAACCACAUGACACAAAAAAUCAAGCAGUGCCUCAGUUAUGCCCAGAUUAUGAGAUGGUUCCCCCUCAAACCACUGAAGAUCACCCAAGGGAGGCUAGGCCUAAUACAAGUGAACAAGUCUCACAUCAAACAGAAGUAGACUUCUGGAAAAUAACGCCACAGGAACCAGACCACCAGGUCAUAACUCCACCAUCACAAGAUAAUAGAGAGACAACUUCACCAGGCAUAGACCAAGAGGUCAUAACUCCACCAGGGAAAGAUGACAGCAAGGCACCUUCACUGAACAUAGACAGCUUGGUCAUAACUCCACCAGGGAAAGAUGACAGUGAGGUACCUUCAUGGAAUAUAGACAGCCUGGUCAUAACUCCACCAAUGCAAGAUGACAGUGAGGCACCUUCACUGAACAUAGACAACCUAGUCAUAACUCCACCAGGGAAAGAUGACAGUGAGGCACCUUCACUGAACAUAGACAACCUGGUCAUAACUCCACCAAUGCAAGAUGACAGUGAGGCACCUUCACUGAACAUAGACAACUUGGUCACAACUCCACCAAGGAAAGAUGACAGUGAGGCACCUUCACUGAACAUAGAUAACCUGGUCAUAACUCCACCAAUGCAAGAUGACAGUGAGGCACCUUCACUGAACAUAGACAACUUGGUCAUAACUCCACCAGGGAAAGAUGACAGUGAGGCACCUUCACUGAACAUAGACAACAUGGUCAUAACUCCACCAAUGCAAGAUGACAGUGAGGCACCUUCACUGAACAUAGACAACAUGGUCACAACUCUACCAGGGAAAGAUGACAGUGAGGCACCUUCACUGAAUAAAGACAGCCUGGUCAUAACUCCACCAGCGAAAGAUGACAGUGAGGCACCUUUCCUAAACAUAGACAACCUGGUCAUAACCCCACCAAUGCAAGAUGACAGUGAGGCACCUUCACUGAACAUAGACAACCUGUUCAUAACUCCACCAGCAAAAGAUGAUAGUGAGGCACUUUCGCUGAACAUAGACAGCCUGGUCAUAACGACACCAAGGCAAGAUGACAGCGAGACACCUUCACUGAACAUAGACAACCUGGUCAUAACUCCACUGAAGCAGGAUGACAGUGAAACGCCAUGGCAGGAUGAAGCUAAAACACCUUCAUUGGUCAUGGAUGGCCAAAUCAUAACUCCACCAUGGGAGGAUGAUGGGGGGAAAUAUUCACCAGGCAUAGACUGCCAGGUCAAAACUCCACCAUGGCAGGAAGACACUGAGAUACCUUUACAAGGUAUAACCUCACCAUGUCAGGAUGAUAGUGAGACGCUUUCACUGGGCAUAGACCACCAAGUCAUAACUCCACCAUGGCAGGAUGACACUGAGACACCUUCAUUGGGCAAAGAAUGCCAAGUUAUAACUCCACCAUGUCAGGAUGAUGAUGCAGCUCCUUCACUUGGCACAGACCACCAGGUCAUAACUACAUUAUGGCAGGAUAAUAGUAAGAUGUCUUCACUGGGCAUAGACCAUCUCAUAAUAAAUCCGCCAUGGCAGGAUGAAGGUGAGAUACCUUCUCUGGGCAUAGAUCACCAGGUCAUAACUCCACCACGGCAGGAUGACAGUGAAACACCUUCACUGGACAUAGAGCACCAGAUCAUAACACCACCAAAACAGGAUGAAGGUGAGAUACCCUUUCUAGACAUAAAUCACCAGAUCCUAACUCUACCAUGGGAGGAAACAUCUUCACUGGGCAUAGACCACCAGGUCAUAAUUCUACCCUGGCAGGAUGAAGGUGAGACACCUUCACUGGGCAUAGAUGACCAGAUCAUAAUUCAACCAUGGCAGGAUGACAGAGAGUCACUUUCACUAGUCAUGGACCAACAGGUCAUAAGACCACCAUGGCAGGAUAACAGUGAGACACAUUCCUUGGGCACAGACCACCAGACCAUAAAUACACCAUGGCAAGAUGACGUUGAAAGACCUUCACUGAGCUUAGACCACCAAGUCAUAACUCUACCAUGGCAGGAUGACAGUGAGACACCAUCACUGGGCUUAGACUGCCAGGUCAUAACUUUACCAUGGCAGGAUGACAAUGAGACACCUUCACUGAGCUUAGACCACCAGGUCAUAACUCUACCAUGGCAGGAUGACAGUGAGACACCUUCACUGGGCUUAGAUUGCCAGGUCAUAACUCUACCAUGGCAGGAAGGCAAUGAGACACCUUCACUGGACUUAGACCACCAGUUCAUAACUCCACUGUGUCAAGAUGAUGGUGCAGUUCCUUCAGAGGGCAUGGAAUACCAGGUCAUAACUCCACCUGACUCUUACCACCUCACUGAAGCUAUACCAAGUACAUACCUCAAUUUAGAGGCAAUAGUAGAGCCCAGUGAGCAAGCCUUGCCUCAAAAUUACUUAUACCAUGGGGCAAAAAAGUCAAUGAGACCAGAGUACCAAAGUACAGCUUCACUUGGUCAGAGCAAUCAGGUUGAAAUUGGAUCAGAUGCCAACAACAACCAGAGCACAUUUCCAACAGAUCAGGAUGAUCAAGUUAGAGUUUCAAUCAUGCCUGAAGAAAAGACCAUUCCUUUAUCCCCUCCUAACUCUGACUACAAAAAUAAAACUCCACUUGGGCUCCAAAAUCAGACUAUACAGAAAAGAGAAAUCCCAUGGCAUUUGAAGCACAUCAAACCAUACACCGUUGAGGGCAGUGACAAUAUCUCUGCAAGAACAGUACAAGCCAUUGUUAAUUCCAUCCCUGAGGAGAAAAUUAAAAAUGAUAUAUGUAAGCAGAUUCUCUUUCGGCGGAUGAAGGAAAAUACCCAACAGAGGCCUGGUAAAUGCAUGUCAACCAGCUAUGCAGUCUGCUUACAAUGUGUCUCCUGGGUCCCAAAUGGCUGUCACCAUGACAAGGAAAUGAACCAUCUUUUUGAAGCAGAAAUGUUAGUCAUGCCAAUACCUCUGCCAGGUUCUAAAGAGGAUAUGGGCUUGAAAUUUGUCCUGAGAGUGCCCCAUAUACCCAUUUCUUUAUUCAAUCAGUUUUUCCAAGAGCCCCAAAAUCAAUGUCAAUUACAUAGUCAAUUAUCAAACUUUCCAUCACCCUCACAAACAGCCCUCAAUGAGUCCCAUGUGCCUGCAAAGGCUGAGUUGCUUGAUUAUUCAAAAAAUGAUUACACUUUGGAAAUUAAAACAUCUAACAAUCAAGAGCAACUCACAAAAGAGAUGCCCAUAAGGAGAGAAAGUAAAGAAAAUGAAAAGUCAAGGGAACAUGUAAAGAAUUUCAAAUCUCUGCUUGAGAAAUUUCAAAAGCAAAGACAAAAUUAAAUUAACAUCUUUUUCUUUGAAAAUGAUUGUGUGCCUUUGAAAUUUAAGUCUGAUUUUGUGUCAUAUGUUAUGUAGUUAAAGAGGGACACAUUGAUUCUGUCUGCUCAUGACAUAAUCCAGCAUAGUCCCCUUCAUAAGCAUUCAGAGGGAAGGGACUCUAUGUUCUCUCUCCCUCUCAUACAAUAUUUUAACUUCAAGUUAAAUUAUAUUCAGAGUGAAGGGAGCUCCACAGGACAGAAAAGCCAUGUUUUUCUGCCUUUUCUUCCCCUCUCACAAUAAGGCUCAGUAAAGGACACCCAGAGUAUGUAUUCACCUUUUUUAUCCUUUUUAUCCUUUCUUACCCUAUAUCACUCAUAAAACUCAGCAUUCUGUAUUUCAAUAUUUCAAAGAUUCACAAGAUCCAUGAUAUCAAUAUCAACAUUUCCUCAAACAAUACAUUACAAAUUCAGCCAAUUUUAAUGGUAGCUGGUUCUUAUCACCUUCCAUUUGGGUUUAUUAAAAAGCUGUCUUUUGGCUUAGAACUUUUUGAUAAGCUCUCCAGAGAGAGGAGCUCUUUCUGACAUACUCCAAAUCUCUGGGUGACCAUUUAAAAUCUUUCCAGCUUAGUGUAGGUCCUACCAGAUCAGACAGUCUCUGAGCCCCAUGCUCAUGUCUCCAUAUAAUGAGACAAAAGAGUGGGACUUGGUGGAAGCAUGUUUCAGUGGGAUAUAGAAAAUAGAGAGGAAUAUGAAACUCUGUUGUGGAGGUCAUUCUUGUUGAACCAUCUUCCUAAAUGGUCUCUCUUAGUCCUUAAUAGCACUAUUCUUUAUAUAUGCUAAAAACUCACUUACAUUAUGGAGUGUUACUUCCUGUCUCUGAAGCCUGGAUUCACAACUUCCUUGCAGUUUUCUGCAUUCCUCUGUCUCUGGCAGAACUUGACAAACUAAAAUGAAUUCUUCCUUUUAAAACUUGAAAAACACCAUAGUUUCAAUUUUUACAUAUGUAUGUUUCUUAACCCAACAUCAUUGACAAAGUAAAGGUAGAAUAUGUUAAUACAGGAUGUUUCACAGGUCUCUGGCUAAACUCAAAAUCACCUCAUCAAAUGCAAACUCGGGCUAGAAGAGCAGCAAACGCAAAGAUGGCAGAAGUUAAAAGUUUCCAUCAUCUAAAUCUUGGCUCGCCAAAGCUGGUGAAAUUAAUGUUAUAGACUUGUCCAUCCCAGAAUAAAUUCGGUUAAAUCAAAGCCCA
rnacentral:lncRNA from 1 species